rnacentral:rRNA from 1 species
AUAUAUGUCUACCGUGGUUGUAACGAGUACAGAGAAUCAGGGUUUGGUUCUGGAGAGGCCGCCUGAGAAACGGCGACCACUUCCAAGGAAGGCAGCAGGCGCGCAAAUUACCCACUCUCAAAACGAGGAGGUAGUGAAGAGAAAUAACGAUGUUAGUCUUCUAUAGGCUGACAAUCGGAAUGGGAACACUGUAAACAGGUUAUCGAUUAACAAUUGGAGGGCAAGUCUGGUGCCAGCAGCCGCGGUAAUUCCAGCUCCAAUAAGGAAAACUAAAGUUGCUGUGUUUAAAAAGCUCGUAGUUGAAUUUCGGGUAUUUGUUGCUAGCUGGUCUAACUGGCCAUGUUGGUUAACAGAUCCUCAUUUGCUGGACGGCUGGCGAUGAUCUUUAUCGAUUGUCGUCAGUUGCCAGAACGUUUACUUUGAGAAAAUUAGAGUGCUAAGAGCAGGCUCACGCCUAUAUAUAUUGCAUGGAAUAAUGAAAUAAGAUCUCGAUUUUAUUUCGUUGGUUUUAGAAAUUGAGAUAAUGAUUAAUAGGAUCAGAGGGGGGCGUACGUACUGUGGUGUGAGAGGUGAAAUUCUUGGAUCGCCACAGGACGAACAGCAGCGAAGGCGUUCGCCAAGAAUGUUUUCAUUAAUCAAGAACGAAAGUUUGAGGUUCGAAGACGAUUAGAUACCGUCCUAGUUCAAACCAUAAACGUUGCCAACUGUCUUUUAGAUGCGGUUAUUUAUAUGACUCAUCUGGCGGAUCUCGAGAAAUCUAAGUUUUUAGGUUCCGGGGGAAGUAUGGUUGCAAAGCUGAAACUUAAAAGAAUUGACGGAAGGACACACAAGAAGUGGAGCCUGUGGCCUAAUUUGACCCAACACGGGAAACCUUACUCGGCCAGGACACUUUUAGGAUUGACAGAUUGAGAGCUCUUUCUUGAUUAGGUGGGUGGUGGUGCAUGGUCGUUCGUAGUUCGUGGAGCGAUUUGUCUGAUUAAUUUCGAUAACGAACGAGACUCCGGCUUACUAAAUAGUCUAAAGUUCGAAGGGACUUUUCAAGACUUCUUAGCAGGAUAAGUGGCACUUUUUAAGCCACACGAAAUGGAGCAAUAACAGGUCUGUGAUGCCCUUAGAUGUCCGAGGCUGCACGCGCGCUACACUGGAGAGUUCAGAAUGUUUCUUCCUACUUCGACAGAAGUGGGUAACCAUGAAAUUCUCUUCGUGACUGGGAUCGGAGCUUGCAAUUAUUCUCCGUCAACGAGGAAUUCCUAGUAAGCACUAUUUCAUCAGAAUGUGCUGAUUAUGUCCCUGUCCUUUGUACACACCGCCCGUCGCUACUACCGAUUGAAUGUUUUAGUGAGAUCUUCGGCUUGGUUUUCCGAGCGGCUCUCGGGUCGUUCGGUUUAUAUCGAAAAGAUGCUCAAACUGGAUCAUUUAGAGGAAGUAAAAGUCGUAACAAGGUA